GACGAACGCUGGCGGCGUGCCUAAUACAUGCAAGUCGAACGAGAGCGACCGGUGCUUGCACUGGUCAAUCUAGUGGCGAACGGGUGAGUAACACGUGGGUAACCUGCCCAUCAGAGGGGGAUAACAUCCGGAAACGGAUGCUAAAACCGCAUAGGUCUUCGAGCCGCAUGGCUUGAAGAGGAAAAGAGGCGCAAGCUUCUGCUGAUGGAUGGACCCGCGGUGCAUUAGCUAGUUGGUGAGGUAACGGCUCACCAAGGCCGUGAUGCAUAGCCGACCUGAGAGGGUGAUCGGCCACAUUGGGACUGAGACACGGCCCAAACUCCUACGGGAGGCAGCAGUAGGGAAUCUUCCGCAAUGGACGCAAGUCUGACGGAGCAACGCCGCGUGAGUGAAGAAGGUCUUCGGAUCGUAAAACUCUGUUGUUAGAGAAGAACAAGUGCUAGAGUAACUGUUAGCGCCUUGACGGUAUCUAACCAGAAAGCCACGGCUAACUACGUG
rnacentral:rRNA from 1 species